AGAGUUUGAUCAUGGCUCAGGACGAACGCUGGCGGCAUGCCUAAUACAUGCAAGUCGAACGAGCUUCCGUUGAAUGACGUGCUUGCACUGAUUUCAAUAAUGAAGCGAGUGGCGAACUGGUGAGUAACACGUGGGAAAUCUGCCCAGAAGCAGGGGAUAACACUUGGAAACAGGUGCUAAUACCGUAUAACAACAAAAUCCGCAUGGAUUUUGUUUGAAAGGUGGCUUCGGCUAUCACUUCUGGAUGAUCCCGCGGCGUAUUAGUUAGUUGGUGAGGUAAAGGCCCACCAAGACGAUGAUACGUAGCCGACCUGAGAGGGUAAUCGGCCACAUUGGGACUGAGACACGGCCCAAACUCCUACGGGAGGCAGCAGUAGGGAAUCUUCCACAAUGGACGAAAGUCUGAUGGAGCAAUGCCGCGUGAGUGAAGAAGGGUUUCGGCUCGUAAAACUCUGUUGUUAAAGAAGAACACCUUUGAGAGUAACUGUUCAAGGGUUGACGGUAUUUAACCAGAAAGCCACGGCUAACUACGUGCCAGCAGCCGCGGUAAUACGUAGGUGGCAAGCGUUGUCCGGAUUUAUUGGGCGUAAAGCGAGCGCAGGCGGUUUUUUAAGUCUGAUGUGAAAGCCUUCGGCUUAACCGGAGAAGUGCAUCGGAAACUGGGAGACUUGAGUGCAGAAGAGGACAGUGGAACUCCAUGUGUAGCGGUGGAAUGCGUAGAUAUAUGGAAGAACACCAGUGGCGAAGGCGGCUGUCUAGUCUGUAACUGACGCUGAGGCUCGAAAGCAUGGGUAGCGAACAGGAUUAGAUACCCCUGGUUAGUCCAUGCCGUAAACGAUGAGUGCUAAGUGUUGGAGGGUUUCCGCCCUUCAGUGCUGCAGCUAACGCAUUAAGCACUCCGCCUGGGGAGUACGACCGCAAGGUUGAAACUCAAAGGAAUUGACGGGGGCCCGCACAAG
rnacentral:rRNA from 2 species